GGCGACGUAGCUCAGUGGUAGAGCAGGGGACUCAUAAGCCCUUGGCCGCGUGUUCAAAUCACGCCGUCGCCA
rnacentral:tRNA from 1 species